rnacentral:rRNA from 1 species
AUAGUUUGAUCCUGGCUCAGAAUGAACGCUGGCGGCGUGCUUAACACAUGCAAGUCGCACGAGAACGCUUCAGCUUGCUGAGGCAAGUAAAGUGGCGCACGGGUGAGUAACGCGUGGGUAAUCUACCCUUGAAUCGGGGAUAACCCGCCGAAAGGCGGGCUAAUACCGGAUAACAUCUGAAAAGCUCCUGCUUUUUANAUCAAAGGUGGCCUCUAUAUGUAAGCUACUGUUUGGGGAUGAGCCCGCGUACCAUUAGCUUGUUGGUAGGGUAAUGGCCUACCAAGGCUACGAUGGUUAGCUGGUCUGAGAGGAUGAUCAGCCACACUGGAACUGACACACGGUCCAGACUCCUACGGGAGGCAGCAGUGAGGAAUUUUGCGCAAUGGGGGAAACCCUGACGCAGCAACGCCGCGUGAGUGAUGAAGGCCUUCGGGUCGUAAAGCUCUGUCAAGUGGGAAGAAACUAUGCGAUGUUAAUAUCAUCGCUUAUUGACGGUACCACUGAAGGAAGCACCGGCUAACUCCGUGCCAGCAGCCGCGGUAAUACGGGGGGUGCGAGCGUUAUUCGGAAUUACUGGGCGUAAAGAGCGCGUAGGCGGUCUUUUAAGUCAGGUGUGAAAGCCCGGGGCUUAACCCCGGAAGUGCAUUUGAAACUAAAAGACUUGAGUAUGGGAGAGGGAAGUGGAAUUCCUGGUGUAGCGGUGAAAUGCGUAGAUAUCAGGAGGAACACCGGUGGCGAAGGCGACUUCCUGGACCAAUAC